rnacentral:rRNA from 1 species
GAUGAACGCUGACAGAAUGCUUAACACAUGCAAGUCAUUGGCGAAGCUGCGCUUGCGCAGUCUAGCCAAGGCGGACGGGUGAGUAACGCGUAAGGAACUUGCCCUGCAGACAGGGAUAACAGACGGAAACGACUGAUAACACCUGGUAUUGUCAGGCUGGCGCAUGCCGGCCUGAUGAAAGGAGACGCUGCAGGAGAGCCUUGCGUCCUAUUAGCUAGUUGGUGGGGUAACGGCCCACCAAGGCGAUGAUAGGUAGCCGGCCUGAGAGGGUGAACGGCCACAAGGGGACUGAGAUACGGCCCUUACCCCUACGGGAGGCAGCAGUGGGGAAUAUUGGACAAUGGGGGCAACCCUGAUCCAGCAAUUCUGUGUGCACGAAGAAGGUUUUCGGAUUGUAAAGUGCUUUCAGCAGGGAAGAAGAAAGUGACGGUACCUGCAGAAGAAGCGACGGCUAAAUACGUG